CCGGAUUUUCUAAGACUUGGAUAUUCCUUGAUAUUCUGCCGAAUUUAGAUCUUCUUCUCCAUAUUGGACUUGGUUUGGACCUCUCCUUCUUGGACUAGGCUUCGUGGAUCAGCUGCUUUGCUUCCCUAGGUCCAUCAGGAACACUUCUCUCGGCAAUGAUUCAAGCAUAACUUCAAUUCUCCUGAUUCUUUCUCCCAUAACUCUUCUACAUAUCACCUAAGUAUCAGAGAAGUUAAAUCAAUUUGUGACAAUGUAAAAGCUUUACAAAAUCAUAAGAACAUCUCUAAGGCUCCACAAAUCGGCUUUUGACAAUUUUCUACAUCAUUCCUCUAUGUUUAACACAUUUUACGCACAACUCUACCAAAAACUUUCGACUCUACAUUAUGACUCUAUUCUACGACAAUAAGAGAUAAUCAAAGUACAAAUGGAGGUAAUAACACAUUAAGAAUGUCGUAUUUUAUGCUCCUAUCAGUGGACGAAAAAUAAUCAAGUAACCGAUCGCGACAUAACUAACUAAACUUAAUUACUUUCCCAUUUUCCAAUAAUCAAGAAAUCUGUCGCAUGCAAGUGUUGAUAAAACUUUCAUAAAGAAAAUCCCAAGGAAACAGACUAGCCCCGCUAGUUAAAUUAAUGACAAAGAUAAAUAAUAACCUUCAUAGAAGAAGGUACCAAAACAAGGGACUAGCCCCGCUAGUCAAAACGACAACAAUAAAUAAGAAACAAAUAUAGCCAUACAAGUGAGCCUCCCAGACUCGGUUGUCUCACAGGUAAUAGUACUCUCAUACUCCCUACACCUUCAUGUUAUGAUAACAGAGAGGAUGUAGGGCUUGCGUGAUGUCGUCGACUACAUCACAUCACCCGAAGGCGGAAAGGGCUUGAGUAACCCCACUUCAAACGUGGAAGUUACAUCGCCUCGAAAGGCGGAACAACAUGCUAGCAUUAGUAAUAUAUUAUCCGACAAGUAUGGCAUAAAUAAAGAAUCAUAUAUCCAUGUGAGUUUCCCCGAAACUCAUAAUUAAAGCAUAAGUACGAUUCCCAACCGUACUCAAAGAUUUCAAAGAGCAAAGAAAAUAAUUAAAUUCAAUGAUGUGUCCCACACGUUAAAAUGCUCAAUGAAAUAAAUAAUCAUCUCAUUAACAUAUUUCAAAAAUUAGACCAUACUCAAAUCUUUAAAGAAAUCUCAAAUCCAGAGAUCAAAAGAAUAUCAUAAUUCAAAUACCAAAACUCUUACCCAAGCUCAAAUCCAUAAGUUAUUAUCAAAAACAUAACCAGUCGGUCAAUCUCAAAUAAAUUCCAUAACCAACUCAAAAGCUGAAAUUAUAAUUUAAGCUCGGAAAAUAUAAUUGACAACUUAUAAAAUCAUGCAUGUAUAUUCCUUAAAAAAAUAAAGUGUCCACUCACAGAUUUAGGCCUAAGCCUGACGAAUUCCGAAUCAUUACUCAUGCGCGGUUCCCUUCGUAUCCUGGCACAAUAAAUAUGCUUAGGACCAAACUUAAAUUCUGGAAAAUUAAACAUUUGAAAAUAAACACCCAAAUCUCUUCCGCUUAACCCACUACUCUAACUAGGGUUAAGCUCACCGGAUUUCUACCAAACUCCACCAUAACCUUAAUUCCUCAAUUCUAACAUUUUAGAAUAAAUAUCAAGAAAAUCCAACGGCCGGAUUUAUCCUAACAACCGCCAUUCUCUCUAAUCUCCGAAAAAUUUCAAACAUAACCAAAACUCAUCCAAAAAUUCCAAACUAUACUUCAAUAAACUCCUCUUAUUAAAACCAUCUCAAAAACAGGAAAAACUGCCCUUAAGGGGCGGCGAUGCCGGCUGUUCCGCCGGCGGCGCCGACCGGCAGCCGUAUUCCGGCAAGGACCAAAGCUUCUCAAAUUUUAGCAGAAUAAUCCUCUCAUCAUGCACAACAACUUUCAUAACCAGCACUUAAUCCAAUUCUAAGGCUAACUAGGGUAAUCGAAUCAAAACAUCCAUAAAUCCCCAAAUUCAAACCCUAGCCCGAAAAUCCUCUUACACACUUCGAAUUUGAUAGUUACCUUCUAGGGGAUUGAUGCACCAAGAAAGGCCGUCAAGUUGAGCCAAACGUCUCCAGCUAUAGUGGCCGGAGGAGGGAGAUUCCGGCAGAAACUCCCCCCGCUGCCCAGUCGGCUUCUAGUCGGGUUUUCUACUUCACGGCGGCAAGGCACGGCCAUCCACCUGCCCAGAAUUACAGUAGAGCUGAUGCUGAGUCGAACGGGACCAGCGCGGCGGUCUGUGGGCGGCCGGACGACGGCGGACGGAGGCCGGGAAUCCAGCAGUUGGGAGAGACGCGGGANAGAGGAGAGAGUGAAACAGAGGCAGAGAA
rnacentral:lncRNA from 1 species